GUGCCAUUGCCCUCCAGCCUGGGCAACAAGAGCAAAAUUCUGUCUCAAAAUAAAUAAAUAAAUAACCAAAACCCACUCCAUUUUUCAGGUACCCACAAGUAGGGUUGACCACAGUAACAAGUAAGCAAGCAAAACAUUUUGUGAAAACCGUGAAGCAUCUUCCUCUGCAGUGACUUAUCAAAAGGGCCCUUUAGCCUAUCUACUGUGGUGUUCUAAAAGGAAGAAAGAGGCUAGUAAAUCCUGGAUACUUUGCUCCUACACCAAUAUUCCCAG
rnacentral:lncRNA from 10 species